GGGAUGGGGUGACUAGUGACAGAGUGAGGAAGGGGGUGACUAGGGACAGAGGGGGUGACUAGUGACAGAGUGAGGGGGUGACUAGUGACAGUCACCCCUUCUCUCUCUGUCACUAGUCACUCCCUCCCUCUGUCACCAGUCACUCCCUCCCUCUGUCACCAGUCACCUCUUCCCUCCCUCACUUUGCCACUAGUCAUCUCUUCCCUCCC